AAAAUUCUAUUACAUUUUGGGGUCCAUGACCUCGACUCUAAUGAGGAAUAUGUUUCCAUAGCACCCAACCAAAUGUUGGUAAUUGCAAAUUAAGAUCCAGGUGCAGCGGCUGUAAGAGGUGGAGGUGGUGGACUUGGCAAGUGACCAUGUUUCCUCAUAUUCAGAGCUGCAAAUUAAGAUCACUAGAUGUUUUCAGCACUUCAUCUUUUCACCAUGUUUCAACUUUCAAAUCCAACAAAGUUUAAUUACUUUUACAUCACACAUUUAACAUCUAUCCACUGUGACAACCAAACAUUAAACAUAAGCAUGUCUUAAACAUGAUUAUAUACAUAUAUAUUUAUAUCUAUAGAGUGAGGAUUCACUUAUUUCACUAGUAAGUUUUUUGAAUUUAUUCUCUAGCCAAUUCUAUAGAUAUCUAAUGUUUUAUAUCUAUUUACUAAUUGAAACCAUUUGAUUUCCCUAUAACUCAUAGCUAAGAUGGAGAUUAUAUUUAAAUAACUUAUUUUUCCAUUAAGUGGAUUCAUCCUCAUUUAUAUAUGCAAACUUUGAAUAUUUAAAUGACAAAUUAAGACAAACCUGCACUAACUGGAGAGAACUGCAUAACCAAAGUAAAAGUGAUUGUUAUUAGAAUAAAAAGAAGUAUAGAGAUUGAAGAGAGACUUUGGAUAUGAGCCAUAUCACAAUGUUGAAAGUUAAUUUGCCGGGCUUGCUACUG
rnacentral:lncRNA from 1 species